GACGAACGCUGGCGGCGUGCCUAACACAUGCAAGUUGAGCGAGAGACUUCGGUCUCUAGCGGCGGACGGGUGAGUAACACGUGGGUAACCUGCCUCGUAGUGGGGGAUAGCCUUUCGAAAGGAAGAUUAAUACCGCAUAAUAUAGUUUAGCCGCAUGGCUAGAUUAUCAAAGGAGUAAUCCGCUAUGAGAUGGACCCGCGGCGCAUUAGCUAGUUGGUGAGGUAACGGCUCACCAAGGCGACGAUGCGUAGCCGACCUGAGAGGGUGAUCGGCCACAUUGGAACUGAGAUACGGUCCAAACUCCUACGGGAGGCAGCAGUGGGGAAUAUUGCACAAUGGGCGAAAGCCUGAUGCAGCAACGCCGCGUGAGUGAUGAAGGCCUUCGGGUUGUAAAGCUCUGUCUUUGGGGACGAUAAUGACGGUACCCAAGGAGGAAGCCACGGCUAACUACGUGCCAGCAGCCGCGGUAAUACGUAGGUGGCAAGCGUUGUCCGGAUUUACUGGGCGUAAAGGAUGCGUAGGUGGAUAUUUAAGUCAGAUGUGAAAUACCCGAGCUUAACUUGGGUGCUGCAUUUGAAACUGGAUAUCUAGAGUGCAGGAGAGGUAAGUGGAAUUCCUAGUGUAGCGGUGAGAUGCGUAGAGAUUAGGAAGAACACCAGUGGCGAAGGCGACUUACUGGACUGUAACUGACACUGAGGCAUGAAAGCGUGGGGAGCAAACAGGAUUAGAUACCCUGGUAGUCCACGCCGUAAACGAUGAGUACUAGGUGUGGGAGGUAUCGACUCCUUCCGUGCCGCCGUUAACACAAUAAGUACCCCGCCUGGGGAGUACGGUCGCAAGAUUA
rnacentral:rRNA from 1 species